AGCAGCUGUGGUGGCUUCUGUGAAGUCAGAUAACCCUAGGUUUUGUAUGUCAAACCUCCUGAGGCUGCUUUCACAAUACUGUUCAGGAAGAGUCGACUGUUGUGACAGAAAACAGAACGAAGCUGCUCUGAAAUUCCAUCUUAUCCCUGUCGAAUGGCUGCCGUGUAGACAUCAAAUGACAACAAAUGUUGGCAAGAAUAUGGGGAAAGAGGAACCUUAUUCACGGCUGAUGACAAUGUCAACUGGUACAGCCACCCUGGAAGUCAAUGUGUCAAUGUGAAGGUUCCUGAAGAGAGAGAGAGAGAGAGAGAGAGAGAGAGAGAGAGAGAGAGAGAACAAGAACUACCACAUAACCAGCUGUACCCCUACCCCUUGAGGGUACGUGACUGAGGGGCACUCAGUCAGCACCCUUGCACAAGUAUUUACAGCUGUAGGAGUCACAAGAGCCAGGAGAUGGAACCAAUCUGGUUGCCCAUCAACAGCUGCAGGUUCUGGAACUUAGGAGAGAGACACCUUUGCGAAUGGAAGAAUUGUUCUGUCCACUCCACAGUGAUCCACGUUGGCCUGGAGAAGUCUCUAGAACUGAGUAAGAAGAAGGAAUUUUUGAGAAGACAAGCAGAGCUCUGAAACUAAAGAGGAAAUGACGACACACCCUCCAAAGUGACUCUCAUAUUCUGGCCUCUGUAGGAUGCAGGGGGAAUUCCUUUUGUGCCCGUGGGUUGUAGGAUAACCUCAGGACCUUGAUCUGCCACUUCUGUCUGCCUGGUGUGAUGGGUAAGGCCUGAACUACGAACUGGAAGAGUGACCUUCUGUUCCUAUUUCUUCAGCAACAGGCAGCCCUGGUGUUUAGAUCUGGUGUAACCUUUUGUUAUACAAGACCCUGCAGCCCCAGGUUCAUGUCCAUGGACUACCAUCAUUAGAAAUAACCUCCCAAUCCGGGCUCUUCCCACCUGUCAAAAGAAGGAAGAGUGUAAAGCACACUGCAAAAGACACCUCUGCGACCAUUGGGAGAAGUGUGAAGAAAAUAUACAGGGAAAAUCCUGUGUCCCUAGUUGUAUUUGUUUGGUCAUGAAGUGGUUACUGACUGUGGUCCAGUCAUGAGGACUUCUUCUUCUCCUCAUCCCAAGAGGAUGAAGGUUCACAGCUCUUGUGGUGAACAGCUUCAUGGUGAGCCGGUCACAGUGUGCUGGCCACAUCCGUGCCUUGCUGGCCUUAAGACCAAUCAGGAUGCUUGCCUCUCUGUUCUUUGGAGAUAUGGCACUGCUGUGACUUUAAUAAUAAGAGCAUUGCCUGUUUUGCUGCUGGCUAAAGUGGCCUGGUGUGUGGAUGUGAGCCCACAAGGCAGAGUUAGGGUUUCUGCUCCUCCUGAUCCUCACCCCAUAACUGGAAACUGGAGAGGCUUCUAAUACCCAAUACCCAAAGUUUUAGUCCCGAUGUGGCCACUGCACUUGCUAUUCCUUUUCUGUAAGGUGGAGCUACUUGACACUACCGUCUUCCUCACUGGCAUCUAGAGUCAAGGGGACAAUGCACAGGGGUGUUCCCGCAGGACGACACCUCACAGGCAAUCGCUCUUAUUCUUAAUCCACUUCCUGUCUUCACCUAAGCAAGCGCUUUCUAGUCAAAGAACCUGCCAUCUCCAUCACACUGACUCUCCUGCUAGCACACACACACACACGCACACACACACACACACGCACGCACACACACACAUAUGUGUGUAUGAGUAUUUGCCAGCACCCACACAGACCAGAAGAGGGUACAAGAUUCCCCUGGAACUGGAGUUACUGAUGGUUGUGAGCUGCCCUGUGGGUGCUGGGAACUGAACCUGAAUCCUCUAGAAGAGCAGCCAGUGCUCUUAACUGCUGAAGCAUCUCUCCAGCCCCCUCUCUACUUUCUAUAGUGGAAGCAAGCAGAGGCUCCCCUUUUAAACUGUCUCUCUCAAGCUGCUGCGACAGUAAUGGAACACUGAGUAACCCAGAGGGGAGGCUCCAGGUUUGUUCUCUGAGGCUAUGGGAAGAGAGAGAGAUGACAUUGUUGGCAAGCAAGGAUGGGGGAGACUCUUCAAGACCAUUUUCUGGACUGAGCUCCCAGAGUACAGUCGAAGAGAGGGAGGAGAGAUAAUAUGGGCACAGGGGUCAAGACCAUGAUGGGGAUACUCACUGAAACAGCCUACCUGAGCUAAUGGGAGCUCACUGAUGCCAGGCUGACUGCGGGGACCGGGGCAGGGGGUCACACACCAGCAUAGGACCAAACUAGGCCCUGUGAAUGUGCAUGACAAUUAUUUGGCUGGGAGAGUCCAUGGGGUCACUGGCAGUGGGGCUAGGAUUUAAUCCUACAGCUUGAACUGGCUUUUUAGAACCCCUUCUCUGUGGAGGGAUACCUUGCUCAGCCUAGAUAUA